rnacentral:rRNA from 1 species
AGAGUUUGAUCCUGGCUCAGGACGAACGCUGGCGGCGUGCCUAAUACAUGCAAGUAGAACGCUGAAAUAAGAGCUUGCUCUUAUGGAUGAGUUGCGAACGGGUGAGUAACACGUGGGGAACCUACCUUCUAGCGGGGGAUAACACAUAGAAAUGUGUGCUAAUACCGCAUAAUAGUAUUUGAUGCAUAUCAGAUACUUGAAAGGCGCAAUUGCGUCACUAGAAGAUGGCCCCGCGGUGCAUUAGCUAGUUGGUGAGGUAACGGCUCACCAAGGCAAUGAUGCAUAGCCGACCUGAGAGGGUGAUCGGCCACACUGGGACUGAGACACGGCCCAGACUCCUACGGGAGGCAGCAGUAGGGAAUCUUCGGCAAUGGACGCAAGUCUGACCGAGCAACGCCGCGUGAGUGAAGAAGGUUUUCGGAUCGUAAAACUCUGUUGUAAGAGAAGAACGUUGAUGAGAGUGGAAAGUUCAUCAAGUGACGGUAUCUUACCAGAAAGCCACGGCUAACUACGUGCCAGCAGCCGCGGUAAUACGUAGGUGGCAAGCGUUGUCCGGAUUUAUUGGGCGUAAAGCGAGCGCAGGCGGUUGAUUAAGUCUGAUGUGAAAGCCCCCGGCUCAACCGGGGAGGGUCAUUGGAAACUGGUCAACUUGAGUGCAGAAGAGGAGAGUGGAAUUCCAUGUGUAGCGGUGAAAUGCGUAGAUAUAUGGAGGAACACCAGUGGCGAAGGCGGCUCUCUGGACUGUCACUGACACUGAGGCUCGAAAGCGUGGGUAGCAAACAGGAUUAGAUACCCUGGUAGUCCACGCCGUAAACGAUGAGUGCUAGUUGUUUGGGGCUAUCCAGCCCUAAGUGACGCAGCAAACGCAUUAAGCACUCCGCCUGGGGAGUACGACCGCAAGGUUGAAACUCAAAGGAAUUGACGG